rnacentral:rRNA from 1 species
ACUACGGGAGGCAGCAGUGGGGAAUAUUGGGCAAUGGGCGAAAGCCUGACCCAGCAACGCCGCGUGAAGGAAGAAGGCUUUCGGGUUGUAAACUUCUUUUGACAGGGAAGAGCAGAAGACGGUACCUGUCGAAUAAGCCACGGCUAACUACGUGCCAGCAGCCGCGGUAAUACGUAGGUGGCAAGCGUUGUCCGGAUUUACUGGGUUUAAAGGGCGUGUAGCCGGGCUGACAAGUCAGAUGUGAAAUCCGGGGGCUCAACCCCCGAACUGCAUUUGAAACUGUUGGUCUUGAGUAUCGGAGAGGCAGGCGGAAUUCCUAGUGUAGCGGUGAAAUGCGUAGAUAUUAGGAGGAACACCAGUGGCGAAGGCGGCCUGCUGGACGACAACUGACGGUGAGGCGCGAAAGCGUGGGGAGCAAACAGGAUUAGAUACCCCAGUAGUC